rnacentral:rRNA from 1 species
CUACUCCUACGGGGCGCAGCAGUGGGGAAUAUUGCACAAUGGGGGAAACCCUGAUGCAGCGACGCCGCGUGAGUGAAGAAGUAUUUCGGUAUGUAAAGCUCUAUCAGCAGGGAAGAAAAUGACGGUACCUGACUAAGAAGCCCCGGCUAACUACGUGCCGGCAGCCGCGGUAAUACGUAGGUGGCAAGCGUUAUCCGGAUUUAUUGGGUGUAAAGGGCGUGUAGGCGGGAAUGCAAGUCAGAUGUGAAAACUAUGGGCUCAACCCAUAGCCUGCAUUUGAAACUGUAUUUCUU